rnacentral:rRNA from 1 species
AUUGAACGCUGGCGGCAGGCCUAACACAUGCAAGUCGAGCGGCAGCGGGAAAGUAGCUUGCUACUUUUGCCGGCGAGCGGCGGACGGGUGAGUAAUGCCUGGGGAUCUGCCCAGUCGAGGGGGAUAACUACUGGAAACGGUAGCUAAUACCGCAUACGCCCUACGGGGGAAAGCAGGGGACCUUCGGGCCUUGCGCGAUUGGAUGAACCCAGGUGGGAUUAGCUAGUUGGUGAGGUAAUGGCUCACCAAGGCGACGAUCCCUAGCUGGUCUGAGAGGAUGAGCAGCCACAGUGGAACUGAGACACGGUCCAGACUCCUACGGGAGGCAGCAGUGGGGAAUAUUGCACAAUGGGGGAAACCCUGAUGCAGCCAUGCCGCGUGUGUGAAGAAGGCCUUCGGGUUGUAAAGCACUUUCAGCGAGGAGGAAAGGUUGGUAGCUAAUAACUGCCAGCUGUGACGUUACUCGCAGAAGAAGCACCGGCUAACUCCGUGCCAGCCGCCGCAGUAA